rnacentral:rRNA from 1 species
AGCGAACGCUGGCGGCAGGCCUAACACAUGCAAGUCGAACGAAAUCAUCGGAGUUAGUGGCGGACGGGGGAGUAACACGUGGGAAGGUGCCUUUUGGUUCGGAAUAACACAGGGAAACUUGUGAUAAUAUAGAAUGAGCCAUUCGGGGGAAAGAUUUAUCUCAAUUAGAGCGGCACGCGUCUGAUUAGCUAGUUGGGGAGGUAACGGCGGACCAAGGCGACGAUCAGUAGCUGGUUUCAGAGGAUGACCCGCCACACUGGGGCUGAGACCCGGCCCAGACUCCUACGGGAAGCAGCAGUGCGUGAUCUUGCGCAAUGGGCUAAAUCCUGACGCAGCCAUGGCGCGUGAAUGAUGAUGUUCGUAGGAUAGUAAAAUUCUUUCACCGGGGACUAUUAUGACGGUACCCGGAGAAGAAGCCCCGGCUAACUUCGUG